AGAUUAUAUUCUAUACAUAUAUAAAAAGACAGAUUCACUGACAGCCAUGUACAGUAUUAAGAAAAUCUGUAAUAUAUAUAAUCUAUGGAAAGAGAAAAAUUAUAAAACAUUAUUUUAUUACAAAAAAAAAAAAAAUACUAAUAAGAGGGUAAUAAAUGUGCAGUUGUUUAUGCUACAAAUCUGCAUAAUGCUCGGUGCCCUCUCUAAGAGCAUGUAUGGGUUAACACGUUGUCUGUAUAAAAAGACAAGUGGAAGUACUGUGCGUGGGCGUGUGUGUGAGAAAAUGUAAGGGGAUUAUUUACUAAACAGUGAGCCGUAAUAAAAUUACUAACGACUUAGUAUAAUGAUACAUUUAUUAUAAUUUACACAAUUAUACAAGUUGCAUUUUAAAUCUCAGCCAUAUCCCCUCCAUACUGAGAUUUAGCCAGAAAACUGAGAAUUGUGACUCCAUGAGGUUAUUGCAUUUUUUAAGUAAAAUAGUCAAAGUGGACAUGAUACCUCCCAACAUUUCAAAUGGGCAAAGAGGGACACUUUAAUUUUAGGGGUGUGGUCAGGGCGGGGCUGUCCUGAGAAAUUUUAGGUGACUUACUAAUAACCAUUUAAACAACUAAAAUUUAACUCAGAACAAUGUAUCUUAUUUACACAGACUGAUUUCUUAACACAUUUAUUGUAGUUUAAAGACACAUUACUGGGAGUAUUAUUGCUGUGGAGCUCUGUUAUACACUCAGACACAUUACUGGGGGUAUUAUUGCUGUGGAGCUCUGUUAUACACUCAGACACAUUACUGGGAGUAUUAUUGCUGUGGAGCUCUGUUAUACACUCAGACACAUUACUGGGGGUAUUAUUGCUGUGGAGCUCUGUUAUACACUCAGUCAUAUUACUGGGAGUAUUAUUGCUGUGGAGCUCUGUUAUACACUCAGACACAUUACUGGGAGUAUUAUUGCUGUGGAGCUCUGUUAUACACUCAGACACAUUACUGGGAGUAUUAUUGCUGUGGAGCUCUGUUAUACACUCAGACACAUUACUGGGAGUAUUAUUGCUGUGGAGCACUGUUAUACACUCAGACACCAACAAUAUGGACUUCCUAUUAAAGGGACUUUUUUUUUAUUUUGACCUUCAAUUUUCAAUUUCUUGUCCCUAAUUAGCAUUUUAGAGGAUAAACGCCAUUGUCGGCUACAUUGACCACUUUGCAAGCUAAUUUAGUGAUAUCAUGACUCACUGUUUAGUGAAUGUCCCCUAGAUGAGAGUUGAGUUUGUGUCGUAUGGAAUGGCAUGGGGUCCCUUGAGAUUGCCUGCUGCUAUAUGUCUUGCACAGAAUGGUAUAUUAAGCUUUUCCCAUAUUUACCAUUGACCUACUUUCUAUAACCAACAUAGCGCAUGAUACAUGGUGGAGAAUAAACAGAACAAUGUAUCGGUGAUUUCUGGUAUUAAUCCAGCCCAGGGAUUUAACAGAAUGGGGCUGCAUUUAUAAUAAAAGUAAAGCUUUAGACAGAGUCUUUGCACCUGAUUACCAUUUACACCCCACAAAUGAGCACAUGGUAGUGACUACCUGGAAAUUGGACAAUAAACUGCAAAAUUCCAGGCCAGACUAGACGAUCAGGAAUAAUAUUCCAAUUUAGGCUAUUUUGGUCUACAGUGUGCAAUUCUCCACAAUUCCCAGUUCGGUGUAUUAACUAAUUUAUGGAGAUUUUAUAAGGCAAACUAAGUUAGAAAAUUCUAUUGCAGGGUGAGCCAGUGGUUUUCUACAGACAUUGAUUAUUAGGUUUACAUCGGGAGCCUCUUUGGUAGUAAUGUCGAUUCUUGGUAUCCUAAAUGUUUGUGAACUACAUUUAAUAACACUAAGCCAUCGUAAAUACGGUUAAACAAUGGCAGCUCUCGCCAUUCUAGGGCACAAAUAUUUGAGUUUUGACUAAAGUAAAAUCUCAAGUGAGCGGUCCGUUAAAUCAAUGUACAUAUUGAAAUCUGUUUCAUUGUUAUUAUGGGCUAUGUUACUUAUUCCGUGUUGUUAUCAUGCAAAGUGCUGUGGUCCUAAACAAGGAGCUGUUCAAAUAAAAUGCAAUAGCAUAUGGCUGACAAAGGAACUCAAAGUAUGCAUGUUGAUUAUAAAACAAUUACAUUUCAUUGGGCAAACAUACGCACACGAAAAUAAAAUAAAAAAAUAUCUCAUGAUACAUGUAUUAACCCCUUCCUAGCUAUAGUAUCGUGGCGUUGCUGAAAGAUAAAG